rnacentral:rRNA from 1 species
UGGCUCCUACGGGAGGCAGCAGUGGGGAAUAUUGGGCAAUGGGCGCAAGCCUGACCCAGCAACGCCGCGUGAAGGAAGAAGGCUUUCGGGUUGUAAACUUCUUUUAAGAGGGAAGAGCAGAAGACGGUACCUCUUGAAUAAGCCACGGCUAACUACGUGCCAGCAGCCGCGGUAAUACGUAGGUGGCAAGCGUUGUCCGGAUUUACUGGGUGUAAAGGGCGUGCAGCCGGGAAGACAAGUCAGAUGUGAAAUCCCGCGGCUCAACCGCGGAACUGGAUUUGAAACUGUUUUUCUUGUGUACCGUG